rnacentral:rRNA from 1 species
CCUAGUAACGGCGAGUGAAGCGGCAACAGCUCAAAUUUGAAAUCUGGCCUUCGGGUCCGAGUUGUAAUUUGUAGAGGAUGCUUUUGGUGCAGUGCCUUCCGAGUUCCUUGGAACAGGACGCCUUAGAGGGUGAGAGCCCCGUACGGUUGGACACUAAGCCUCUGUAAAGCUCCUUCGACGAGUCGAGUAGUUUGGGAAUGCUGCUCUAAAUGGGAGGUAAAUUUCUUCUAAAGCUAAAUACCGGCCAGAGACCGAUAGCGCACAAGUAGAGUGAUCGAAAGAUGAAAAGUACUUUGAAAAGAGGGUUAAAUAGCACGUGAAAUUGUUGAAAGGGAAGCGUUUAUGACCAGACCUUUGCCUGGCGGAUCAUCCGGUGUUCUUCACCGGUGCACUUCGCCUGGCUUAGGCCAGCAUCGAUUUCUGUAGGGGGAUAAAGGCCAUGGGAACGUAGCUCUCUUCGGGGAGUGUUAUAGCCCUAGGUGUAAUACCCUUACGGGGAUCGAGGUUCGCGCUUCUGCAAGGAUGCUGGCGUAAUGGUCAUCAACGACCCGUCUUGAAACACGGACCAAGGAGUCGAACAUUUAUGCGAGUGUUUGGGUGUCAAACCCUCACGCGUAAUGAAAGUGAACGGAGGUGAGAGCCCUUUUUGGGUGCAUCAUCGACCGAUCCUGAUGUCUUCGGAUGGAUUUGAGUAAGAGCAUAACUGUUCGGACCCGAAAGAUGGUGAACUAUGCGUGGAUAGGGUGAAGCCAGAGGAAACUCUGGUGGAGGCUCGCAGCGGUUCUGACGUGCAAAUCGAUCGUCAAAUCUGCGCAUG